UAAGGAAUAUUGGACAAUGGGCGCAAGCCUGAUCCAGCCAUCCCGCGUGCAGGAUGACGGCCCUAUGGGUUGUAAACUGCUUUUAUAGAGGACGAAACGCUUUGGUUUACCAGAGCCUGACGGUACUCUACGAAUAAGCACCGGCUAAUUCCGUGCCAGCAGCCGCGGUAAUACGGAAGGUGCAAGCGUUAUCCGGAAUCACUGGGUUUAAAGGGUGCGUAGGCGGGCCGAUAAGUCAGAAGUGAAAGCUCAUCGCUUAACGAUGGAAUUGCUUUUGAUACUGUUGGUCUUGAAUUAGGUUGAGGUUAGCGGAAUGAGUCAUGUAGCGGUGAAAUGCAUAGAUAUGACUUAGAACACCGAUUGCGAAGGCAGCUGGCUAGACCUAUAUUGACGCUGAGGCACGAAAGCGUGGGGAGCGAACAGGAUUAGAUACCCGUGUAGUCC
rnacentral:rRNA from 1 species